rnacentral:rRNA from 1 species
GAGUUUGAUCCUGGCUCAGGACGAACGCUGGCGGUGCGCCUUAUGCAUGCAAGUUGAGCGAACUUUUUGGUAGUUUACUACUAGAAAUGACUGAGCGGCGAACGGGUGAGUAACGCGUGAGCAAUCUACCUUAGUUACUGGGAUAGCCCGAGGAAACUCGGAUUAAUACCGGAUAUUCUUAUUUUUUCACAUGAAGUUUUAAGGAAAGGUCAGCCGAACUAAGAUGAGCUCGCGUUCUAUCAGCUAGUUGGUGGGGUAAAAGCCUACCAAGGCUACGACGGAUAGCUGGUCUGAGAGGACGAUCAGCCACACUGGGACUGAGACACGGCCCAGACUCCUACGGGAGGCUGCAGCAGGGAAUAUUGUGCAAUGAGCGAAAGCUUGACACAGCGACACCGCGUGUGGGAUGACGGUUCUAGGAUUGUAAACCACUUUCAGGAGGGAAGAAAAUGACGGUACCUCCACAAGAAGACCCGGCCAACUAUGUGCCAGCAGCCGCGGUAAUACAUAGGGGUCAAGCGUUGUCCGGAUUUAUUGGGCGUAAAGAGCUCGUAGGCGGUUCAACAAGUCGGUCGUAAAAGUUUAGGGCUCAACCCUAAAAUGUCGAUCGAUACUGUUGUGACUAGGAUACGGUAGAGGUGAAUGGAAUUCCGAGUGUAGCGGUGAAAUGCGUAGAUAUUCGGAGGAACACCAAUUGCGAAGGCAGUUCACUGGACCGUGAUCGACGCUGAGGAGCGAAACUAGGGGGAGCAAACAGGAUUAGAUACCCUGGUAGUCCUAGCUGUAAACGAUGGAUACUAGAUGUAGGAACUGGAUUGACGGUUUCUGUAUCGUAGCUAACGCGUUAAGUAUCCCGCCUGGGGAGUACGGUCGCAAGACUAAAACUCAAAGGAAUUGACGGGACCCCGCACAAGCGGCGGACAUGCGGCUUAAUUCGAUGAUACCCGUAGAACCUUACCUGGACUUGACAUAUAGGGAAAACUGGAGAAACCAGUGUGCGUAC